GAUGAACGCUGGCGGCGUGCCUAAUACAUGCAAGUCGAGCGAACGGACGAGAAGCUUGCUUCUCUGAUGUUAGCGGCGGACGGGUGAGUAACACGUGGAUAACCUACCUAUAAGACUGGGAUAACUUCGGGAAACCGGAGCUAAUACCGGAUAAUAUUUUGAACCGCAUGGUUCAAAAGUGAAAGACGGUCUUGCUGUCACUUAUAGAUGGAUCCGCGCUGCAUUAGCUAGUUGGUAAGGUAACGGCUUACCAAGGCAACGAUGCAUAGCCGACCUGAGAGGGUGAUCGGCCACACUGGAACUGAGACACGGUCCAGACUCCUACGGGAGGCAGCAGUAGGGAAUCUUCCGCAAUGGGCGAAAGCCUGACGGAGCAACGCCGCGUGAGUGAUGAAGGUCUUCGGAUCGUAAAACUCUGUUAUUAGGGAAGAACAUAUGUGUAAGUAACUGUGCACAUCUUGACGGUACCUAAUCAGAAAGCCACGGCUAACUACGUGCCAGCAGCCGCGGUAAUACGUAGGUGGCAAGCGUUAUCCGGAAUUAUUGGGCGUAAAGCGCGCGUAGGCGGUUUUUUAAGUCUGAUGUGAAAGCCCACGGCCCAACCGUGGAGGGUCAUUGGAAACUGGAAAACUUGAGUGCAGAAGAGGAAAGUGGAAUUCCAUGUGUAGCGGUGAAAUGCGCAGAGAUAUGGAGGAACACCAGUGGCGAAGGCGACUUUCUGGUCUGUAACUGACGCUGAUGUGCGAAAGCGUGGGGAUCAAACAGGAUUAGAUACCCUGGUAGUCCACGCCGUAAACGAUGAGUGCUAAGUGUUAGGGGGUUUCCGCCCCUUAGUGCUGCAGCUAACGCAUUAAGCACUCCGCCUGGGGAGUACGACCGCAAGGUUGAAACUCAAAGGAAUUGACGGGGACCCGCACAAGCGGUGGAGCAUGUGGUUUAAUUCGAAGCAACGCGAAGAACCUUACCAAAUCUUGACAUCCUUUGACAACUCUAGAGAUAGAGCCUUCCCCUUCGGGGGACAAAGUGACAGGUGGUGCGUGGUUGUCGUCAGCUCGUGUCGUGAGAUGUUGGGUUAAGUCCCGCAACGAGCGCAACCCUUAAGCUUAGUUGCCAUCAUUAAGUUGGGCACUCUAAGUUGACUGCCGGUGACAAACCGGAGGAAGGUGGGGAUGACGUCAAAUCAUCAUGCCCCUUAUGAUUUGGGCUACACACGUGCUACAAUGGACAAUACAAAGGGCAGCGAAACCGCGAGGUCAAGCAAAUCCCAUAAAGUUGUUCUCAGUUCGGAUUGUAGUCUGCAACUCGACUACAUGAAGCUGGAAUCGCUAGUAAUCGUAGAUCAGCAUGCUACGGUGAAUACGUUCCCGGGUCU
rnacentral:rRNA from 1 species